rnacentral:rRNA from 1 species
GACGAACGCUGGCGGCGUGCUUAACACAUGCAAGUCGAACGGAAAGGCCCUGCUUUUGUGGGGUGCUCGAGUGGCGAACGGGUGAGUAACACGUGAGUAACCUGCCCUUGACUUUGGGAUAACUUCAGGAAACUGGGGCUAAUACCGGAUAGGAGCUCCUGCUGCAUGGUGGGGGUUGGAAAGUUUGGGCGGUUGGGGAUGGACUCGCGGCUUAUCAGCUUGUUGGUGGGGUAGUGGCUUACCAAGGCUUUGACGGGUAGCCGGCCUGGGAGGGUGACCGGCCACAUGGCGACUGAGAUACGGACCAGACUCCUACGGGAGGCAGCAGUGGGGAAUAUUGCACAAUGGGCGGAAGCCUGAUGCAGCAACGCCGCGUGCGGGAUGACGGCCUUCGGGUUGUAAACCGCUUUCGCCUGUUACGAAGCGUGAGUGACGGUAAUGGGUAAAGAAGCACCGGCUAACUACGUG